rnacentral:sRNA from 1 species
UUUUGUCAUCCAAAAUUAAUUAAAACUCAAACGAGCCAAUCUCGAGGGAUAUUGUUUACACAUGUGAUAUGAUGCGGUUCGGUACGGAUUUUCCGCGCCAAAUUAUUCGCUUUUACAUUAGCACUUCGAGAAAUUAAAGAUAAAGAAAAAUUUGUGAGUUCUUCCUUGUCGCUUUGCAAUUCCUCCAAAUACACAGAAAAUGCCGGCCAUUCGGUUGGACAAUUUUAUGAAUUAUGAGUUAGAAAUUUAGAAUAUAAUUCUC